UAGUCCACGCCGUAAACGAUGGACACUAGUUGUUGGGCAUUAGCUCAGUGACUAAGCGAAAGUGAUAAGUGUCCCACCUGGGGAGUACGAUCGCAAGAUUGAAACUCAAAGGAAUUGACGGGGGCCCGCACAAGCGGUGGAGCAUGUGGUUUAAUUCGAUGAUACGCGAGGAACCUUACCAGGGCUUAAAUGUAAAUUGACAGAUUUAGAAAUAGAUUUUUCUUCGGACAAUUUACAAGGUGCUGCAUGGUUGUCGUCAGCUCGUGCCGUGAGGUGUCAGGUUAAGUCCUAUAACGAGCGCAACCCCUGUUGUUAGUUGCCAGCGAAUCAUGUCGGGAACUCUAACAAGACUGCCAGUGCAAACUGUGAGGAAGGUGGGGAUGACGUCAAAUCAUCACGGGCCCUUACGUCCUGGGGCUACACACGUGCUACAAUGGUAGGGGACAGAGAGCAGCCACUGCGUGAGCAGGGAGCG
rnacentral:rRNA from 1 species